rnacentral:rRNA from 2 species
UAGGGAAUCUUCGGCAAUGGACGAAAGUCUGACCGAGCAACGCCGCGUGAGUGAAGAAGGUUUUCGGAUCGUAAAACUCUGUUGUUAGAGAAGAACAAGGACGUUAGUAACUGAACGUCCCCUGACGGUAUCUAACCAGAAAGCCACGGCUAACUACGUGCCAGCAGCCACGGUAAUACGUAGGUGGCAAGCGUUGUCCGGAUUUAUUGGGCGUAAAGCGAGCGCAGGCGGUUUCUUAAGUCUGAUGUGAAAGCCCCCGGCUCAACCGGGGAGGGUCAUUGGAAACUGGGAGACUUGAGUGCAGAAGAGGAGAGUGGAAUUCCAUGUGUAGCGGUGAAAUGCGUAGAUAUAUGGAGGAACACCAGUGGCGAAGGCGGCUCUCUGGUCUGUAACUGACGCUGAGGCUCGAAAGCGUGGGGAGCAAACAGG